GUUAGCGGCGGACGGGUGAGUAACACGUGGGUAACCUGCCUGUAAGACUGGGAUAACUCCGGGAAACCGGGGCUAAUACCGGAUGCUUGUUUGAACCGCAUGGUUCAAACAUAAAAGGUGGCUUCGGCUACCACUUACAGAUGGACCCGCGGCGCAUUAGCUAGUUGGUGAGGUAAUGGCUCACCAAGGCAACGAUGCGUAGCCGACCUGAGAGGGUGAUCGGCCACACUGGGACUGAGACACGGCCCAGACUCCUACGGGAGGCAGCAGUAGGGAAUCUUCCGCAAUGGACGAAAGUCUGACGGAGCAACGCCGCGUGAGUGAUGAAGGUUUUCGGAUCGUAAAGCUCUGUUGUUAGGGAAGAACAAGUGCCGUUCAAAUAGGGCGGCACCUUGACGGUACCUAACCAGAAAGCCACGGCUAACUACGUGCCAGCAGCCGCGGUAAUACGUAGGUGGCAAGCGUUGUCCGGAAUUAUUGGGCGUAAAGGGCUCGCAGGCGGUUUCUUAAGUCUGAUGUGAAAGCCCCCGGCUCAACCGGGGAGGGUCAUUGGAAACUGGGGAACUUGAGUGCAGAAGAGGAGAGUGGAAUUCCACGUGUAGCGGUGAAAUGCGUAGAGAUGUGGAGGAACACCAGUGGCGAAGGCGACUCUCUGGUCUGUAACUGACGCUGAGGAGCGAAAGCGUGGGGAGCGAACAGGAUUAGAUACCCUGGUAGUCCACGCCGUAAACGAUGAGUGCUAAGUGUUAGGGGGUUUCCGCCCCUUAGUGCUGCAGCUAACGCAUUAAGCACUCCGCCUGGGGAGUACGGUCGCAAGACUGAAACUCAAAGGAAUUGACGGGGGCCCGCACAAGCGGUGGAGCAUGUGGUUUAAUUCGAAGCAACGCGAAGAACCUUACCAGGUCUUGACAUCCUCUGACAAUCCUAGAGAUAGGACGUCCCCUUCGGGGGCAGAGUGACAGGUGGUGCAUGGUUGUCGUCAGCUCGUGUCGUGAGAUGUUGGGUUAAGUCCCGCAACGAGCGCAACCCUUGAUCUUAGUUGCCAGCAUUCAGUUGGGCACUCUAAGGUGACUGCCGGUGACAAACCGGAGGAAGGUGGGGAUGACGUCAAAUCAUCAUGCCCCUUAUG
rnacentral:rRNA from 1 species